rnacentral:rRNA from 2 species
CCUACGGGAGGCAGCAGUGGGGAAUAUUGGACAAUGGGCGAAAGCCUGAUCCAGCCAUGCCGCGUGUGUGAAGAAGGUCUUCGGAUUGUAAAGCACUUUAAGUUGGGAGGAAGGGCAGUAAGUUAAUACCUUGCUGUUUUGACGUUACCAACAGAAUAAGCACCGGCUAACUUCGUGCCAGCAGCCGCGGUAAUACGAAGGGGGCAAGCGUUAAUCGGAAUUACUGGGCGUAAAGCGCGCGUAGGUGGUUCGUUAAGUUGGAUGUGAAAGCCCCGGGCUCAACCUGGGAACUGCAUCCAAAACUGGCGAGCUAGAGUAUGGCAGAGGGUGGUGGAAUUUCCUGUGUAGCGGUGAAAUGCGUAGAUAUAGGGAGGAACACCAGUGGCGAAGGCGACCAUCUGGUCUAUUACUGACACUGAGGUGCGAAAGCG